rnacentral:rRNA from 1 species
GAUGAACGCUGGCGGCGUGCCUAAUACAUGCAAGUCGAGCGAACAGAUGAGAAGCUUGCUUCUCUGAUGUUAGCGGCGGACGGGUGAGUAACACGUGGGUAACCUACCUAUAAGACUGGGAUAACUCCGGGAAACCGGGGCUAAUACCGGAUAAUAUUUUGAACCGCAUGGUUCAAUAGUGAAAGACGGUUUCGGCUGUCACUUAUAGAUGGACCCGCGCCGUAUUAGCUAGUUGGUAAGGUAACGGCUUACCAAGGCGACGAUACGUAGCCGACCUGAGGGGGUGAUCGGCCACACUGGAACUGAGACACGGUCCAGACUCCUACGGGAGGCAGCAGUAGGGAAUCUUCCGCAAUGGGCGAAAGCCUGACGGAGCAACGCCGCGUGAGUGAUGAAGGUCUUCGGAUCGUAAAACUCUGUUGUUAGGGAAGAGCAAAUUUGUUAGUAACUGAACAAGUCUUGACGGUACCUAACCAGAAAGCCACGGCUAACUACGUGCCAGCAGCCGCCGUAA